GUUUAAGCACUCAAGGAAUGCCAAAUCUCCCAAUACUUCAGGAAUUUCCCCACUAAUCUCGUUUGAAGAUAGAUCGAGCCAUUCAAGAUCAACCAAGUUACCUAAAGUUGGAGGGAUGGAACUUGUAAGGUGAUUGUGCGAAAGGUUGAGCCCUAUGAGAGAGUGAAGAUGUCCAAAGACUUCGGGAAUGUCACCUUGAAAAGAAUUGCGUGACAAGUCUAUGGUUGUGAAGACGGUCAAGAUCUUCACUAGCUCAAUUACUAGCCCUUUCAUAGUCACAGUCACCGAAGCUUCAUAUCCUCUAUAAAUCGAUUCCAUAUACAAUGGUUUGUCUCGCCCAUUUUCGUCAUCCAUCAUGGGUUUGAAGUUCAUUAUCAAGUUGGCUGGCAAAGGUCCGCCAAAGUUGUUGUUGGAGAGGUCCAAGAUGUGCAACUUGGAAAAGAGGUGAGCUCCCUUGGGAAUAUUCAAAAUAUCCUCAAAAUUGUUGGACCUCAAAAUGAGAACUUUUAGUUCUAGGAGUGUUCCCAACCAUGUCGAAAACACAUCCUCUAUCUGAUUAUCACUAAGAUCCACAACUUCUAGAUAUUUACAAUUGACAAGGGACUGGGGUAAUGUGCCUUCAAACCGAUUUUGACUCAAGUCGAGAGUCGUCAAGUUAUUUCUCAAACAAAAUGAUUGAGGAAUUUUGCCCUCGAGGUGAUUCAUUCGCAAAUUCAAAAUCGAUAGAUCAAUGCUAAAAUUUGUUAGGCAUCGAGGCAAUGUACCUGUCAAGCGAUUGUUAGACAAGUUAAUGAUUUCAAGCUUGGUGGCAUUGCAUAUCAACGGAGGAAUCUUUCCUGUCAUCUUAUUACUUGCGAUGGAAUAAUAAAAAGUUACGGGAGAUGGAAGUGGAAUUGGCCCUUCAAAAUUGUUGUUGGACAAAUCAAUCAAAACCAAUGAGGUGUUUGAUAAAACCUCCAUGGGCCACUGUCCUGUAAAAUUGUUGUUGGCAAUGGAUAAAGCUAAAAGAGUAGGAAAGGAGAGUCUACAGUCAGUGAGGUUGACCCAGCCAUGAAAUUUGUUGUCAUAUAAAUCGAGCAGCUCUAGAUGCCGUGCUUCCAACGAACAUGGGAAGAUAUCACUCAAUUGGUUGUGACUGAGAAUUAAAGAUGAUAAGUAUGUGCAUUUGACUAGGGAGCGUGGCAAUAGCCCUUGUAAUUUAUUGCUGCUCAAGUCUACAAAAGAGAGAUAAGUUAAAUUACCAAAACAUUGUGGCAUAUUCCCUGAGAAACUAUUGUUAGAUAAUUGUAAAAACUGGAGUGAGCUCCACUAGCAAAUCAAAGAAGGGAGCAGUCCUUGGAAAGAGUUAUUUUGAAGGUUAAUAUACCACAAUCGCUUCCAGUUCAAUUGUUGUAUUCCAGAACAUAGAGGCAUAUUCCUCGAGAAAUUAUUGUUAGAUAAAUCUAAAUGCGAGAGUGAACUCCAUUGGCAAAUUGAAGAAGGGAGCGGUCCUUGGAAUGAGUUAUUUCGAAGGUCAAUAAAUGACAAUUGCUUCCAGUGCAAUUGUCGUAUACCAAAACAUUGUGGCAUAUUCCCAAAGAAAUUAUUGUUAGAUAAAUCUAAAGAUGAGAGUGAACUCAACUGGCAAAUCAAAGAAGGGAGCAGUCCCUGGAAUGAGUUAUAUUGAAGGUUAAUAUAGGACAAUCGCUUCCAAUGCAAUUGCCGUAUAUCUCCGUCUAGAAGGUUAUCAGAAAGAUCUAUUGCUUCCAAUGUAUCAUGGCUUAUUCCCCAAAACCAUCUCGGGAUCUCCCCACUAAUCCUAUUAUAAUUGAGGUCUAAGUACGUUAAUCUUUUCGACGAAUUCAAGAAAGAGGGGAACUCUGUCAAGUUGCAAGCAGACAACCCUAACACUCAAAGGUUCGGGAAUGGAUACUUCAAUCUAGUUUCGGUAAAGAUUUCAAAAUCUAGAACCUUGCUAAAGAAAUUCCAAGCAAGAUUUAGAACUUGGAGUUGCUUGAGAUCUGCCAUUGAUGAUGGGACGUGUCCUAUGAAGUUGCACUGGCUAAGAUCUAAAACUAUUAAACUCUUCAUAUUACCAAUUGAAUUGGGUAUUUCUCCUGAAAGCUCGUACAGCUGAGAGUCAAGGACACAAGAGGACCGGUCCAAGUUUCGGGAAGAUUCCCNNNNNNNNNNNNNNNNNNNNNNNNNNNNNNNNNNNNNNNNNNNNNNNNNNNNNNNNNNNNNNNNNNNNNNNNNNNNNNNNNNNNNNNNNNNNNNNNNNNNAGAUGGAGUGGACUUGGCCCUUCAACUUGUUGUUGGACAAAUCAGUCAGAUACAAUGAGGUGUUUGAUAAAAUCUCCGUGGGCCACCGUCCAAUAAAAUUGUUGUUGGCAAUGGAUAAAGCUACUAGAGUAGGAAAGGAAAGUCUAUAGUCAAUGAGGUUGACCCUGCCGUGAAAUUUGUUGUCUUCUAAAUCGAGCUGCUCUAGAUUCCGUGCUUCCAGCCAACAUGGGAAGUUAUCACUCAACUGGUUGUGACUAAGAAUUAAAGAUGAUAAGUCCAUGCAUUUGACUAGGGAGCGUGGCAAUGGCCCUUGUAAUUUAUUGCUGCUCAAGUCUAGAUGAGAAAGAUCGGUUAAAUUACCAAAACAUUGUGGUAUAUUCCCCAAGAAAUUAUUGUUAGAUAAAUCUAAAAUAAAGAGUGAACUCCACUGGCAAAUUGAAGAAGGGAGCGGUCCUUGGAAUGAGUUAUUUUGAAGGUUCAUAUAAAACAAUCGCUUCCAAUUCAAUUGUUGUAUUCCGGAACAUUGAGGCAUAUUCCCUGAGAAAUUAUUGUUAGAUAAAUCUAAAAAUGAGAGUGAACUCCACUGGCAAAUCGAAGAAGGGAGCAAUCCUUGGAAUAAGUUAUAUCGAAGGCUAAUAGAGGACAAUCGCUUCCAGUGUAAUUGUUGUAUAUCUCCCUUUAGAAGGUUAUAAGAAAGAUCUACUUCUUCCAAUGUAUCAUGGUUUAUUCCCCAAAACCAUAUCGGGAUCUCCCCACUAAUCCUAUUAUUACUGAGAUCUAAGUAUCUUAAUCUUUUUGAUGAAUUCAAGAAAUAGGGGAACUCGGUCAAGUUGCAAGCAGACAACCCCAACACUUGAAGCUUUGCGAAUGGAUACUUCAGUCUAGUUUCUGUAAAGAUUUCAAAAUCUAGAACCUCACUAAAGUAAUUCGAGUCAAGAUUUAGAACUUGGAGUUGCUUGAGAUCUAACACUGAUGAUGGGAUGUGUCCUGUGAAGUUGCACCAGCUAAGACCUAAAACUGUUAAACUGUUCAUAUUACUAAUUGAAU
rnacentral:lncRNA from 1 species